rnacentral:misc_RNA from 1 species
AAGACUAUAGACCUGCGGAGUACCUGCGGAAGGAUCAUUAAUGAAAAAACUUUUUAAGUUUCUUCAUAUUCCCUGUUUAUAUUAAAUACGUUCCUUCCAUUGGACAGGUCCUUGAGACCCUCUAGCUUGAGCAAAUGCUUUUGCUGGGGAGCUGCCGAUGGCGUUUCUGAAUACAAAAAAUUUGUUAUUAUAUGAAGUGUCUGAAUAUAUUUUGAAAUUAAAUAAAACUUUCAGCAACGG